CAGUCGCCGCGGUAAUACAGAGGGUGCGAGCGUUAAUCGGAUUUACUGGGCGUAAAGCGUGCGUAGGCGGCUUUUUAAGUCGGAUGUGAAAUCCCUGAGCUUAACUUAGGAAUUGCAUUCGAUACUGGGAAGCUAGAGUAUGGGAGAGGAUGGUAGAAUUCCAGGUGUAGCGGUGAAAUGCGUAGAGAUCUGGAGGAAUACCGAUGGCGAAGGCAGCCAUCUGGCCUAAUACUGACGCUGAGGUACGAAAGCAUGGGGAGUAAACAGGAUUAGAUACCCCCGUAGUCCCUGUCUCUUAUAC
rnacentral:rRNA from 1 species